ACCGUUAUAACCGGCGAUUUCCGAAUGGGGAAACCCAGUGUGUUUCGACACACUAUCAUUAACUGAAUCCAUAGGUUAAUGAGGCGAACCGGGGGAACUGAAACAUCUAAGUACCCCGAGGAAAAGAAAUCAACCGAGAUUCCCCCAGUAGCGGCGAGCGAACGGGGAGCAGCCCAGAGCCUGAAUCAGUGUGUGUGUUAGUGGAAGCGUCUGGAAAGGCGCGCGAUACAGGGUGACAGCCCCGUACACAAAAAUGCACAUGCUGUGAGCUCGAUGAGUAGGGCGGGACACGUGGUAUCCUGUCUGAAUAUGGGGGGACCAUCCUCCAAGGCUAAAUACUCCUGACUGACCGAUAGUGAACCAGUACCGUGAGGGAAAGGCGAAAAGAACCCCGGCGAGGGGAGUGAAAAAGAACCUGAAACCGUGUACGUACAAGCAGUGGGAGCACGCUUAGGCGUGUGACUGCGUACCUUUUGUAUAAUGGGUCAGCGACUUAUAUUCUGUAGCAAGGUUAACCGAAUAGGGGAGCCGAAGGGAAACCGAGUCUUAACUGGGCGUUAAGUUGCAGGGUAUAGACCCGAAACCCGGUGAUCUAGCCAUGGGCAGGUUGAAGGUUGGGUAACACUAACUGGAGGACCGAACCGACUAAUGUUGAAAAAUUAGCGGAUGACUUGUGGCUGGGGGUGAAAGGCCAAUCAAACCGGGAGAUAGCUGGUUCUCCCCGAAAGCUAUUUAGGUAGCGCCUCGUGAAUUCAUCUCCGGGGGUAGAGCACUGUUUCGGCAAGGGGGUCAUCCCGACUUACCAACCCGAUGCAAACUGCGAAUACCGGAGAAUGUUAUCACGGGAGACACACGGCGGGUGCUAACGUCCGUCGUGAAGAGGGAAACAACCCAGACCGCCAGCUAAGGUCCCAAAGUCAUGGUUAAGUGGGAAACGAUGUGGGAAGGCCCAGACAGCCAGGAUGUUGGCUUAGAAGCAGCCAUCAUUUAAAGAAAGCGUAAUAGCUCACUGGUCGAGUCGGCCUGCGCGGAAGAUGUAACGGGGCUAAACCAUGCACCGAAGCUGCGGCAGCGACGCUUAUGCGUUGUUGGGUAGGGGAGCGUUCUGUAAGCCUGUGAAGGUGUGCUGUGAGGCAUGCUGGAGGUAUCAGAAGUGCGAAUGCUGACAUAAGUAACGAUAAAGCGGGUGAAAAGCCCGCUCGCCGGAAGACCAAGGGUUCCUGUCCAACGUUAAUCGGGGCAGGGUGAGUCGACCCCUAAGGCGAGGCCGAAAGGCGUAGUCGAUGGGAAACAGGUUAAUAUUCCUGUACUUGGUGUUACUGCGAAGGGGGGACGGAGAAGGCUAUGUUGGCCGGGCGACGGUUGUCCCGGUUUAAGCGUGUAGGCUGGUUUUCCAGGCAAAUCCGGAAAAUCAAGGCUGAGGCGUGAUGACGAGGCACUACGGUGCUGAAGCAACAAAUGCCCUGCUUCCAGGAAAAGCCUCUAAGCAUCAGGUAACAUCAAAUCGUACCCCAAACCGACACAGGUGGUCAGGUAGAGAAUACCAAGGCGCUUGAGAGAACUCGGGUGAAGGAACUAGGCAAAAUGGUGCCGUAACUUCGGGAGAAGGCACGCUGAUAUGUAGGUGAAGCGACUUGCUCGUGGAGCUGAAAUCAGUCGAAGAUACCAGCUGGCUGCAACUGUUUAUUAAAAACACAGCACUGUGCAAACACGAAAGUGGACGUAUACGGUGUGACGCCUGCCCGGUGCCGGAAGGUUAAUUGAUGGGGUCAGCGCAAGCGAAGCUCUUGAUCGAAGCCCCGGUAAACGGCGGCCGUAACUAUAACGGUCCUAAGGUAGCGAAAUUCCUUGUCGGGUAAGUUCCGACCUGCACGAAUGGCGUAAUGAUGGCCAGGCUGUCUCCACCCGAGACUCAGUGAAAUUGAACUCGCUGUGAAGAUGCAGUGUACCCGCGGCAAGACGGAAAGACCCCGUGAACCUUUACUAUAGCUUGACACUGAACAUUGAGCCUUGAUGUGUAGGAUAGGUGGGAGGCUUUGAAGUGUGGACGCCAGUCUGCAUGGAGCCGACCUUGAAAUACCACCCUUUAAUGUUUGAUGUUCUAACGUUGACCCGUAAUCCGGGUUGCGGACAGUGUCUGGUGGGUAGUUUGACUGGGGCGGUCUCCUCCUAAAGAGUAACGGAGGAGCACGAAGGUUGGCUAAUCCUGGUCGGACAUCAGGAGGUUAGUGCAAUGGCAUAAGCCAGCUUGACUGCGAGCGUGACGGCGCGAGCAGGUGCGAAAGCAGGUCAUAGUGAUCCGGUGGUUCUGAAUGGAAGGGCCAUCGCUCAACGGAUAAAAGGUACUCCGGGGAUAACAGGCUGAUACCGCCCAAGAGUUCAUAUCGACGGCGGUGUUUGGCACCUCGAUGUCGGCUCAUCACAUCCUGGGGCUGAAGUAGGUCCCAAGGGUAUGGCUGUUCGCCAUUUAAAGUGGUACGCGAGCUGGGUUUAGAACGUCGUGAGACAGUUCGGUCCCUAUCUGCCGUGGGCGCUGGAGAACUGAGGGGGGCUGCUCCUAGUACGAGAGGACCGGAGUGGACGCAUCACUGGUGUUCGGGUUGUCAUGCCAAUGGCACUGCCCGGUAGCUAAAUGCGGAAGAGAUAAGUGCUGAAAGCAUCUAAGCACGAAACUUGCCCCGAGAUGAGUUCUCCCUGACCCUUUAAGGGUCCUGAAGGAACGUUGAAGACGACGACGUUGAUAGG
rnacentral:rRNA from 1 species